AUCCUGUGUUAUCCUCUUCUUUCCUGAGGAUCUCUGCUACGUACAUACGUCUAUAUCCCACCAGUCGGGGACCAGUACCACUGAAUGCGAAACAUACCCGAGCUAGUUCUAGCUCUAAUAUAGGUGAGUGUGAUACCUUCUCACUUUGAACUUCCACAAAGAAGCAGUAAAUACAUUCUACACUAUUGGAUUUUUUCUUCUGUUUUCUUUUGCAUAUUGGCACCUGGAACAAGAAGUCUCAUUCAUUUCUCCAAUUCCAUCAGGACUGUUUCCUUCCCGUAAGCGGAUGUGAUUAUUCCCUGCUUAUUUUAGGACUGUUUAUCACUUUUUCCUUGUAUGUACUGCCAUUUGUAA